rnacentral:rRNA from 1 species
GACGAACGCUGGCGGCGUGCUUAACACAUGCAAGUCGAACGGAGCGAAUGAAAGCUUGCUUUUAUGAGCUUAGUGGCAAACGGGUGAGUAACACGUAGACAACCUGCCGACAGGAUGGGGACAACAUUCCGAAAGGAAUGCUAAUACCGAAUGAAGCGGAGGAGAGGCAUCUCUCUUCCGUGAAAGAUGGCCUCUUUUUAUGCUACCACCUGUUGAUGGGUCUGCGUCUGAUUAGCUGGUAGGUGAGGUAACGGCUCACCUAGGCGACGAUCAGUAGCCGGUCUGAGAGGAUGAACGGCCACAUUGGACUGAGACACGGCCCAGACUCCUACGGGAGGCAGCAGUGGGGAAUCUUCCGCAAUGGGCGCAAGCCUGACGGAGCAACGCCGCGUGAGUGAAGAAGGUCUUCGGAUCGUAAAGCUCUGUUGACGGGGACGAACGUGCGAGAGGUGAAUAAUCUCUUGUAAUGACGUACCUUCGAGAAGCCACG